rnacentral:rRNA from 1 species
CUGGCGGCAGUAGCGCGGUGGUCCCACCUGACCCCAUGCCGAACUCAGAAGUGAAACGCCGUAGCGCCGAUGGUAGUGUGGGGCCUCCCCAUGCGAGAGUAGGGAACUGCCAGAC